GUGCAGAGUCAGAGAACAUGUCACAAUAUGAAUAUGUUUUGUGUUGCCUGGCACCAGAGUUAUGUGGGUUGUGGAAGAGAAACUCUGAACUGUAGAGAAUCAGAAUGCUCAGUCAUCAAACCCACAAAACUGUAAGAGGAUUCCAUUAGAAUGACAACUCGUCAAAAUAGAAGUUCCUUUCUAGCAGAAAUUUGCUUAUGGGAAAACUGAGGCCCAGAGAAGCAAAGUGUAUUUCCUAGGGUCACACAGCCUAGGUCUCCAGACUGGAUGUCCUUCUGUCUUUCUGCAGGUCUGGAUGAGAAACUUGAAGGAGUCAGUCCACAAUAAUUUCUGGAGCAUCUACUUUGUACUACCUGCUGUUCUAGGCACUGUGGUCUCACUGGUAACAAGGACAGAACUACUGUCCCCAAGGAGUUAUGUUCUAAUUGGUGGAUGGGAGGACACAGAUUAGGAACACAGAAACAAAUGAGUCACCACCAUGACAACACCCUCUACUGGAAAGGUAUGAGUCAUCCCAGCUGAGGACAUCCUAAACCAGCCAGCCCCCAGCCAACCUACCCGCUGACCACAGAUGCAUGAACAGGGUCUUGCUCUGUCUCCCAAGCUGGAGUGUAGCAGCAUGAUCAUGGCUCACUGUGCAGCCUCAACCUCCUGGGCUCAAGUAAUCCUCCUGCCUCAGCCUCCCAAGUAGCUGGGACUAUAGGUUGAGAGGUCAUUCUUACCAAGAGCAGCAAAGACCAACUCAUAGAAUCAGCGAUGAAUCUUCGUGCUUCAGCAGAGGGAAAAUAACCGCCUUUAGCUCACCUCGCAAUUGCUGUACCUUUUCAUGCCAAAAUUUCACUGGAAGUGUCUGAGUGCACACAAACAGACUGAAGCACCGCCUAUGUGAGGUGCUUAGAGACAGGUUGCCUGAGUUUACACCUCGGCUUUGCCACUUACCAGCAGUGUGACCUUAGGCAAGUGCCUUUUCCUCUCUGAGGAAAUUGUCUCAGGGAUAAAUGAAUGAACCAUUUGGUGAUUGGUUGAACCCACAGUUCAUCUCAGCCUGGCAGUUUGCCAUGAUAAUGUGUCUUCCAAAUGUGCACAGAAAUAAUGUGGAUCCCCGCGCAAGUGAGGCCACUGGGCAUUAAUAACCAAUACUUUGAGAAUCGUGUGAUGUUUAAUUUUAAUAUGUGCAUUUGGUCCUUCAUAACUGGCUCCUCUUCAGGGUGUGUACUUCAACUCAGACAAGGUGCACACAGGUCUCUUGAAGAUGCCAUUAUAGAUGUCUGCAAAUAAAUGACUGAAACGUAAGACUAUCUGGUCUCUCUAAAGUAAAAGGAGGCAGUGCUUGGGGUCCUUGUCUUGCUUUCAGUCUUAAUUAGCUCUCUUUUGUCCUUGCCCCAGCUUCAGGAGCUUACCAGUGUUUUGCCCUCGAGCCCUGAGUCCUUGCAAAGGCAGAUGGAAGUUCAACUGGAUUGAAUUGGGGCAGCUCUGCCCACCAGCUUCUUCUCCCGGGCCUUUGGAGAUGGAUGUUUGGCCAAGACCUUGUCCAACUGGGGCAUCUUGGUCCAACAGCCUUUUCUUGGAGGCUUUGGGGGAUAAGUGCUUGACUACUAGUCCAAAAGUGGAAAUAGGGAAGUGUGACCUUGGCCAAGUUACUGAACUUCUCUGAGCCUCAGUGUUCUCCUCUGCAUUGACUUGCUCUGAAAUUCAAACAAAACAACGCACCUGAAGCCUCUACAAUAGGGUCUGGGACACAUUAAGCACUAGGAACAGCGUUCCUCUUCUCCACCUCCUCUUCCUUCUCCUUACAACCACUUGAGUUGGAAAGACCUGGCUUUAAAUAUCCGAUCGGUUAUUUAUUUUUUAGCUACAGUUUUCUCCUAGGGCAAUAAUAGCACCUUCCAGUGUUAUGAGAAGUUAGACAUGUGAUCGCUGGAAUCAGAUAACCAGAGUUCAAAUCCUGGUUCCUCCUCCUACCAACUGUGUGUCUUUGGGCACUACUUUCCCCCUCUCUGUGCCUCAGUCUCCUCAUCCAUGAAGUGGGGAGAAUACUACUACCUAUCCUUUGGUGUUGUGUGAAUUAAAUAAAUUAUGCCAAAUGCUUGCAAUGG